UACGUAGGGUGCAAGCGUUGUCCGGAAUUAUUGGGCGUAAAGCGCACGUAGGCGGCUUUGUAAGUUGGAUGUGAAAGCCCUCGGCUCAACCAAGGAAGUGCAUCCAAAACUACAGAGCUUGAGUACUUAAGAGGAUCGCGGAAUUCCCGGUGUAGAGGUGAAAUUCGUAGAUAUCGGGAGGAACACCAGUGGCGAAGGCGGCGAUCUGGGAAGAUACUGACGCUGAGGUGCGAAAGCGUGGGGAGCAAACAGG
rnacentral:rRNA from 1 species